AGGGUUGUAGUUAAUCAUAACAUUUGAGUUGCAAUCAAAAAGUACUUCAAUAGUCUUCCUUG
rnacentral:tRNA from 1 species